AUGUCUUGGGUUGCUCUUUUUGUCACCGUUUGUCUUUGCACCGAUCAUCUUUUGGCUCAGGAGAUUACGCUGCAACAGCCGACUUCAGAGUCUGUGAGUGUGGGAGGGAAGGCCAAAUUAGCAUGUACAAUGAACACUGGCAUUGCCAUAGUGUCCUGGUACCAGUUAAAGGAAAGUAGUGCCCCGCUUUUUAUCUACAGCUUCCGUAUAACUGGUGAUAAAAACAAUAGACCAGGACCUGGAAUCAGCAGUAGAUUCUCAGCCUCUCGUGAUUCUGAUACAAAUACCUGGCAUUUAGUUAUUACAGAGGCCCAGAUUGAGGAUGAAGCAGAUUAUUAUUGCUCAAUAUGGAAUGCUAAGAUCAGCACAUAG